rnacentral:rRNA from 1 species
UACAGAGGUCUCAAGCGUUGUUCGGAUUCAUUGGGCGUAAAGGGCGCGUAGGCGGCGGGGUAAGUCGGGUGUGAAAUCUCAGAGCUCAACUCUGAAAUGGCACUUGAUACUGCUCUGCUAGAGGAGUGGAGAGGAGAUUGGAAUUCACGGUGUAGCAGUGAAAUGCGUAGAUAUCGUGAGGAAGACCGGUGGCGAAGGCGACUACCUGGCCUGUUCUUGACGCUGAGGCGCGAAAGCCAGGGGAGCGAACGGG